rnacentral:rRNA from 1 species
AUUGAACGCUGGCGGCAGGCCUAACACAUGCAAGUCGAGCGGCAGCGGAAAGUAGCUUGCUACUUUGCCGGCGAGCGGCGGACGGGUGAGUAAUGUCUGGGAAACUGCCUGAUGGAGGGGGAUAACUACUGGAAACGGUAGCUAAUACCGCAUAACGUCGCAAGACCAAAGAGGGGGACCUUCGGGCCUCUUGCCAUCAGAUGUGCCCAGAUGGGAUUAGCUAGUAGGUGGGGUAACGGCUCACCUAGGCGACGAUCCCUAGCUGGUCUGAGAGGAUGACCAGCCACACUGGAACUGAGACACGGUCCAGACUCCUACGGGAGGCAGCAGUGGGGAAUAUUGCACAAUGGGCGCAAGCCUGAUGCAGCCAUGCCGCGUGUAUGAAGAAGGCCUUCGGGUUGUAAAGUACUUUCAGCGGGGAGGAAGGCGUUGAGGUUAAUAACCUCAGCGAUUGACGUUACCCGCAGAAGAAGCACCGGCUAACUCCGUGCCAGCCGCCGCAGUAAAAC